ACAAAUGCGAAGAAGAGGAGCAGUAUCCGCAUCCGAAAGCGAAGAGAGAGGGCGGCCGGUGUAAGCCCUUGUGCAGGAUGUGGGGAAGUCGCCUUGGAGCUGCCGCGCUGAAAAGAGAGUAAGCCGGACGGGAACUCCCGUUACAGAGGCAUGAGUGUCCGCACAAUGCGGGAAUCCAGGUGGUACCACGGUCAUUGAUCGCCCUGAGC
rnacentral:ncRNA from 1 species